rnacentral:misc_RNA from 1 species
AUUCCCCAAACAAAAUGUGUCGAUCGCUGAUUGGUUAAUUUAUGCACAUGUGUCUUUUAUGAAAAAUUGCUAAUUUAAAUAUAGAAUUCAACAUUCUAAGACUAUUUGGAGAUAUAAAGGAUUGAUUGCAUAUCAAUCUUGUAACAAUUUCCUCUUAAAUCGAUCCAACUUACUGAGAAUACUUCAACCAAUUAUCUAAACCAACCGGAUCAAAACACGUCAGCUUUACUCUACAAAUACCGGAUUGACAAUAUUAUGUCAUUAUUGGAAUAGGCAACUUUGUUAUGUAAUGAAAUUCUAACUAAUAAAAACAUAUAAAAAUGAAAUACGAAAAGACAAUUACAUUCUGUGUAUUACUUUCAUUCAUCUUGGUUUUGGAUGCCGUUGAUUUAACACCUCUAAUGAAAAUAACCAAAAAGUGCGAUUCUUGUAAAAAGAUCGUUGAAAAAUUCUACGAAGGUCUAAAGAAAACCAAUAAAGCAAAUUUUGGAGGUGGAAAUACUGCUUGGGAAGAGAAGAGUUUAGGGAAAUUUUUUUUUAGUGAAACUCGUCUAUAUGAAAUUACGGAUAGCAUAUAUCAAUCUAGUGAUUCUGAGACGGCUUCUAUGUUAGGAGAAUACGAAGAAGAUGUUGAAGUUUGGUGGAAGGAACACUAUAGCAAAAAGAAAGAUCAUAUCAAUUUAUUAGAAUAUAUUUGUAUUAACAAGAUUAAAGUUUGUUGUCCAAACGGAACGUUCGGUGAAAAUUGUCAACCUUGCGUUGGAGGAAGUGAAAAACCUUGUAAUGGUAAUGGUAAAUGUGAAGGUGAUGGAACUAGAGGCGGAAGUGGUGAUUGCGAAUGUAAGGAAGGUUAUUUGGGUAAUUUAUGCGAUACUUGCGCACCCAAAUUUUAUCGUGUAUUGAAAGAAGAUACUGAGGAGAAUUCUCAGCAACCCUUAGAAUGUAAAGCUUGUCACGAGUCAUGUAAAGACAAUUGCACCGGCCCAGGACCAAAUUUAUGUUUUAGGUGUAAACCAGGCUGGAACUUUGAUGAGGAGGACGGUGUUGGUUGUGUAGAUAUUGACGAAUGUGCUGAAGAUAGUCCUUGCAAGGAUGAUGAAUACUGUAAUAAUAAGCCAGGAUCUCAUUCCUGCGAAAAGUGCCACGAGCAUUGUAAGGAUUGUACGGGACCAGGAGCAAUAGCUUGUAAACAAUGUGCACCAUUACACUUUAGAGAUGAAAAUACACUGGAAUGUUCACCGUGUCAUCCAGGUUGUGCCAAUUCCUGUACGGGAAAAGAGGCAAAUAAAUGCGAUGCUUGUAAAGAGGAAGGUUGGAAAUUUAAUGAAGAGAAUAAAAAUUGUGACGACGUUGACGAAUGCGAAAAAGAAUCAGCAUGCAGUGAAAAUGAAUAUUGUUUGAAUACUUUUGGAUCGUUUGCCUGUCAUAAAUGUCACAAAGCCUGUCAAAAAUGUUCUAAAGACGGUAUCGAAAAUUGUCUAACAUGCGCUAGCGGCUACGAAAAGAAUGAAAACGACACAACAUGUCAGGAUAUCGACGAAUGUUCAUUAGAAAAUGGGCCUUGUAAAGACAGUAACGAGGAUUGCCUAAAUACAGUUGGCUCAUUCACAUGCGAAUGUAAGAAGAAUUUCGAAAGAAAAGAUGGAAAGUGCUUACAGAAGAAUUCUCAGAAAAAGAAAAAGAGAAAAACGAAGAAAGUGAAAAAAGUUGAGGUAAAUAAAGAUAAUUUAGCUGAAGAAAAUUUGGAAAGUGAGAAAAAUAAAGAUGAAUUAUGAGAUAGAAAAGACUUAAUUAUCAACCUUGCUGUGAUGUGCGUUGUUUUUUCUUUCUUUUUUUUUUUUUGAAUAUCUGUUUUAUUGUUUUUUUGUCUUGUCUUUAUUCUCAUUAUUAUUAUUAUCCUUUGUUUCUCUUCUUCUGGCACUCUAUUUUUUUUUUGACAGUCACUAUACUGCUUGCUCCAAUCCUCCACCCUGUCAAAUAAUUCUAUACAUAUAUAUAUAUUUAAACAAUCAUAUUCAUCUCUUUCUCUCUUUCUCUCUCUCUCUCUCUUGCCAUCAAUUUGCAAUUUUCUUGUCUUAAGUUAUUAAAUAAUUAUUACAAUUAUUUUUUUUUUCAAUAAGAAUUUCAUUUGCAAUCUAAGCUUCAUUUGUUUCUAUUAUGUUAUUAUUACUAUAUUUUGGGUUGAAUUAUAUAGAUGGCACCACUAUCUUAAUUUUGAAUUUGUCCUUUUUUUUUUCCUUCUGGCUAUCCAGAGAUAUUGAGGCCAUCAAAUAAAAGUCGGAAAAUGUUUGUUUGUUAGUUUACUUUACAAAAGUAAUGAAAUCGGAAAUGGAAAAAAGAGUUUGUCAGUUGGAUAAUGAUUUGUAUAAAGAAUUUAAUGGCAUGAUAAGACGUGCUAAGUAAAGCAAUUCCCGUCUCGAAUGGCGAAUUAUUGACAAAGAUUAUCGAUAGAGAUUCUAUACUGUAAAACUAGCUAACAAAUCCAAAAAUGACGUCAGAAAUGGCCAAAAAACAUACGCUCGAUUUAUUUAAAUUACAAAAUAAUUGGAUGCUAUGGCAACGUUUUAUCAAAGAAAAUCAGUUUUGGCCUUAUUAGGAUUACGCAUAAGGUCGAAUCCACAAGCUUUUUUUAUAGUUUCUUUGUCUAUAGAUCCAGUAUAUCCUAUUCCUCGGAGGGUUCCUGAGGCUAAAAAGAAGAAAAUUAUAAUCCUCUUCCCUUGCCUCAUCCUCUUCUUCUUUUCUCUAUCUAUAAAUGUAUAUAUAUAUAUAGAUACGUUAUAUACAACAAUAGAUAAUCUAUUAUUUCAAAAAAAACCGAAUAAACUAUUAUACAUGUUUUUAUAAGAUUGUAUUGUAUAUAUCUGAAUAAAAACUAUAAGCUUUACCAAUGAAGAGAAUGUACCAAAAUAAUUGUCUUAUUCACCUUGCACUUGUCAUUUGUGUCUGAAACAAAAUAAUGUUUUUGAAAAAUCAUCAGAUAUUUUCUUGUUGAGGAGUAAAUGAGAAGCUUUUCUUUUAGUAACAAAUUAAUUCCAUCUUAAUAUUAAUUGAUCUCUUUAUUAAAAAUUAUUAUCUUUGUUCUCUUACACCAAGAUUCCUUUCACUUUUUACCAAGAAAGAUAACAAAGAAUUAUAUAUAUAUAUAUUUUAAGAAAAAUAAUUGACAAUAUAAUUAAUCACUUAAGUUUUGUGACAUCUUAAUUAGGUAGGAAACAUAUGUAGUUAUGGUAACCUUUGAUGUUCACGUUUCUUUCAUGGUCUAGUUAUAAGGGAAAAUUGAAAGAGAGGAUGUAGAAGGUAACGAAAAAGGAAGGAAUACGACAAAUAGAAAGACUUAUAGAACCUUUAAUAUAGGGAGAAACAUUAUAAAGGUAAGUUUUGUAGGAGAAAACUGGUGAAAAGAAAGUAAAAGGUGAGCAAAGAGGGUGUAAAAUCGACAAGUUAAGAUUGUUUUCCUCCCUUUUUUAGAGGGGAGCUGUUAAUCGUUUCGAGAUCAAAGAAGACAACUAUCCAAUUUAUCAAGUUGAAAGAGACAGAGAAGAAGAGAUCUUGUGAUUAUUUCGUAAAGAUACAAUUUUAUUAAGAUAGAGU